GACCGUGUAGCCUAGUGGUUAAGGCAUCAGGUUAGAAAGCUGGGGGGAGGAGUAAGUUCGAGUCUCGCCUUAGCCA
rnacentral:tRNA from 1 species